rnacentral:rRNA from 1 species
GAUGAACGCUGGCGGCGUGCCUAAUACAUGCAAGUCGAGCGAACAGACGAGGAGCUUGCUCCUCUGACGUUAGCGGCGGACGUGUGAGUAACACGUGGAUAACCUACCUAUAAGACUGGGAUAACUUCGGGAAACCGGAGCUAAUACCUGAUAAUAUAUUUAACCGCAUGGUUCAAUAGUGAAAGACGGUUUUGCUGUCACUUAUAGAUGGAUCCGCGCCGCAUUAGCUAGUUGGUAAGGUAACGGCUUACCAAGGCGACGAUGCGUAGCCGACCUGAGAGGGUGAGCGGCCACACUGGAACUGAGACACGGUCCAGACUCCUACGGGAGGCAGCAGUAGGGAAUCUUCCGCAAUGGGCGAAAGCCUGACGGAGCAACGCCGCGUGAGUGAUGAAGGUCUUCGGAUCGUAAAACUCUGUUAUUAGGGAAGAACAAAUGUGUAAGUAACUAUGCACGUCUUGACGGUACCUAAUCAGAAAGCCACGGCUAACUACGUG